UUGAAAGGGAAACGAUUGAAGUCAGUCGUACCUGUGGGUAAUCAGCCUUUUGGGUGUGAUUUUGUGGAGUGUGAGGAGUUAAACGCCUUCAUGCCUGCAUAUUCGUGCACUUUGGGUGUAUUUACCCGUGUGGUAAGUUAACAUCAAUUUCGGUGGUCAUAAAAUGGCUGGAGGAAUGUAGCUUCGAUCUUGUAUUGAAGUGUUAUAGCCUUCGGUAGAUGUGAUGAUCGGGAUUGAGGAUUGCAACGGAUACCUUCGGGGCUACCUGUCUGAUCUCUGAUCGUUGCUCUGGUGCCGAAAGCUUGCUUACGGGUAUCAAAGUCGAUGGUCAAUAGCUUAGAAUGGGUUAACUUCGUUAAGGAUGUUGACGUA
rnacentral:rRNA from 1 species